rnacentral:pre_miRNA from 1 species
AGUCUGAUUGUUGGGUCGAAUUGCAAGCACAUGUUUAAUUUUGUAAGAAACUGCCAAACUGUUUUCCAAAGUGGCUGUACCACUUUAUAUUCCUACCAGUUAU